UACAGAGGUGGCAAGCGUUGUUCGGAAUUACUGGGCGUAAAGGGCGAGUAGGUGGCCAUCUAAGUCAGACGUGAAAUCCCCCGGCUUAACCUGGGAACUGCGUCUGAUACUGGACGGCUUGAGUAUGGGAGAGGAACGUAGAAUUCCAGGUGUAGCGGUGAAAUGCGUAGAGAUGUGGAGGAACACCGAUGGCGAAGGCAGCCCCCUGGGCUAACACUGACGCUCAUGCACGAAAGCGUGGGGAGCAAACAGG
rnacentral:rRNA from 1 species